rnacentral:rRNA from 1 species
GUGGAGGCAGCAGUGAGGAGUAUUGCACAAUGGGGGAAACCCUGAUGCAGCAACGCCGCGUGAGUGAUGACGGUCUUCGGAUUGUAAAGCUCUGUCUUCAGGGACGAUAAUGACGGUACCUGAGGAGGAAGCCACGGCUAACUACGUGCCAGCAGCCGCGGUAAUACGUAGGUGGCAAGCGUUGUCCGGAUUUACUGGGCGUAAAGGGAGCGUAGGCGGAUUUUUAAGUGGGAUGUGAAAUACCCGGGCUUAACCUGGGUGCUGCAUUCCAAACUGGAAGUCUAGAGUACAGGAGGGGAAAGCGGAAUUCCUAGUGUAGCGGUGAAAUGCGUAGAGAUUAGGAAGAACACCAGUGGCGAAGGCGGCUUUCUGGACUGUAACUGACGCUGAGGCUCGAAAGCGUGGGGAGCGAACAGGAUUAGAUACCCCGGUAGC